rnacentral:rRNA from 1 species
UACGUAGGGUGCAAGCGUUAAUCGGAAUUACUGGGCGUAAAGCGUGCGCAGGCGGCUAUGCAAGACAGAUGUGAAAUCCCCGGGCUCAACCUGGGAACUGCAUUUGUGACUGCAUGGCUAGAGUACGGCAGAGGGGGAUGGAAUUCCGCGUGUAGCGGUGAAAUGCGUAGAUAUGCGGAGGAACACCGAUGGCGAAGGCAAUCCCCUGGGCCUGUACUGACGCUCAUGCACGAAAGCGUGGGGAGCAAACAGG